UCGAGUUAGGGGUAGCUCCGGCUGCCUUGACUUCCCAACCCUAUGAUUUGAUGUACUUUACUAUGUCUUCCGGCCUCUGCUCCGGUAUGCCGGAAGAUUUUACUGCCAACUCGCUAAUCAUGACGUCAUCUUCAAUCUUGAAUUGAAUAA
rnacentral:misc_RNA from 1 species